rnacentral:rRNA from 1 species
UAGGGAAUCUUCGGCAAUGGACGAAAGUCUGACCGAGCAACGCCGCGUGAGUGAAGAAGGUUUUCGGAUCGUAAACUCUGUUGGUAGAGAAGAACGUUGGUGAGAGUGGAAAGCUCAUCAAGUGACGGUAACUACCCAGAAAGGGACGGCUAACUACGUGCCAA